rnacentral:lncRNA from 1 species
UUGGUAUUUAGUUAAUUAAUUUUAAUGAGGUGAAUUAACAGUAAAAUUAAAUAGAUGUAAUAAAGUCAAUUUCAUGUCAGAUAUUUAAAGCACAUGUACAGCUAAAGAUACAGAAACUUCACAGCAGUUUUUAAAUUCCAGUUAAGUACGCAGGCACUACUGUUUAAAGAUCUACACUCCAUUUGUGAAUUUAUUACAGUUGCGGUAAUGGUAAUAACUGUUUUUCGCUGUUCACAUUUGAAACAAUUUCUCUUUGGACAUGAAUAAAUACUCAUUAUGAGUCUAUUUUUAUCUUUCAAGUUGCUUUCUACAUCCAAUUUAGGUUAAUUCUGAUCCUAAAGUGAAAUGUCUUCUAUUCAUUUCUCUCUCUAAGGUUGUGCUGCUUUGCACACCCUACCUGACUCAGGCCAUGCUACAAGGAGGCUUAUUUAUCUGUCCUCUUUGGUUUUGGUUUUGUUUCUAUGGAAUAUAAUCUGUAGGAAAUCUGCACAUGCCUUUUAUUUGAGAAAAGGAAACUUCUUUAUUCUUUGUGCAUAAAUACCUUGGAGAACAGAGUAUAAAAGCAGCUACGUAGAAGUGUGAUCCAGAGCCAACUGAAACUCCUGGAAAUUUUGCUGUUAACUGCAAUGCAGCCUCUCCUGCCAAAACCACCAUUUCAGCCCUAUAGCUGUAACAGACCAUACACAGAGGAAGCAGCCUUCACCCUCUGCUCUACAAGCGUAACACAAAAGGAAAAGCAUGGAGAGAUCAUCUUGACAUCAUGUGAGAUUAAUAGAGCUAAUCCAAAAAAACAUCAUAUGCAAAGGACUCUUUCAACCAGAUAAAUUCUUAGAUCAGAAUAAUUUCCUUUAAGACGUGCUUUACCUUCCAGUGUCUCCACUUCUAGGUGCAGAUAAAGCAUUUUCUGAGGCAUCAUUUAGCUGUUGACAGUCCUGCAAAGGGGCAGCCACAAGUUUACUCAUAGUAAACGUCCAUCUACAAUGAAGUCCAGAGUUCAUAAUGAAGAACAGUUGAGAAAUCAGUUUCCUGCUCUUUACCUAGGGAACAAGGAACACUGCUUUGGGACCUAGCUCCUCACUAGACAUCAUAAAUAUCUACACACAUAGCAGAAGAAAAAAAAA